ACCAAUCAAUAAUUCUGACAUGCUAUCAAUAUACCGAGCAAUGAUAGGCCAACUGAUAGUUGUCUGAUUUAUGAUAUCAAUAAAUUGUAUAAUGUUUAUAAGAAUUAAAAGAAGACACUCUGCAUAUAUACCCACUCACGAUUUUUACUCGUUGAAAAGAUGGGGGAUACCAAGGUUAGAGCUUUAUGUGAUGAAUUCUGGGAAUGGAGGAUGCGUCAGAGCCCGGUGUUUGCCUCGUACUGUGGAGAUCAGCGAUAUUCCCAUUUGUUGGAUGAGAUCGACCCAGACGCCUUCCUUGGGUUUGAGAAAGAUGUUUCCAAGCUUAUAAAAAAAGCAGAUAAUAUCCAGGUAAAGGAUUUAUCAAAACCUGCCAGAGAUGAACUCUUACUUGUGAAAGACCAGCUGCAGACUUUUUUGGCUGGAAUGAAGCACAAGGGUUGGUAUUUUCCAAUCAACUUUAUGGAUGGCUUGCAUGCAGAUAUACCUAAAGUUAUGUGUGUGUCCAACCAAGACAGAGGAAGACGUCAGAAAUCUCAAUAAAAGAAUAGAGGGUUACGGACAGAAAGCAAGGUCUUGUGUACAGAUAUUAAAGGAGGGAGUGAAAAAUGGAUAUGUUUUCCAUCUUCUCUCAAUAGAAGGUGUGCCAGAUCAGAUUUAUAAUAUGAUCAAUGUUGAGCUUAGCCCAGAAAGCGAUGUUUUUCUUUCUCCAUACAAAGAGUUCCCCGAAGGAUCCAUAGAAACUUCUAUAAAGUAAGAAAAAUAUAU